rnacentral:tRNA from 1 species
GUGUGUGUAGCUCAGCAGUCAGAGCAUCCCUCCGGAUUGAAGCCAUCAUGGGUUUGAAUCCCAUUGCACACA